CCUACGGGAGGCAGCAGUGGGGAAUCUUGCACAAUGGGGGAAACCCUGAUGCAGCGACGCCGCGUGAGUGAAGAAGUAUCUCGGUACGUAAAGCUCUAUCAGCAGGGAAGAAAAUGACGGUACCUGACUAAGCAGCCCCGGCUAACUACGUGCCAGCAGCCGCGGUAAUACGUAGGGGGCACGCGUUAUCCGGAUUUACUGGGUGUAAAGGGAGCGUAGGCGGCAGCACAAGUCUGGAGUGAAAUCCCGGGGCUUAACCCCGGAACUGCUUUGGAAACUGUGCGGCUGGAGUGCAGGAGGGGUGAGCGGAAGUCCAAGUGUAGCGGUGAAAUGCGUAGAUAUUAGGAGGAACACCGGUGGCGAAGGCGGCUUACUGGACUGUAACUGACGUUGAGGCUCGAAAGCGUGGGGAGCAAACAGGAUUAGAUACCCCAGUAGUC
rnacentral:rRNA from 1 species